AUUGAACGCUGGCGGCAGGCCUAACACAUGCAAGUCGAACGGUAACAGGCAGCAGCUUGCUUCUUUGCUGACGAGUGGCGGACGGGUAAGAAAUGUCUGGGCAACUGCCUGAUGGAGGGGGAUAACUACUGGAAACGGUAGCUAAUACAGAAUAAUGUCGCAAGCCCAAAGAGGGGGAGAUUCGGGCCUCUUGCCAUCGGGUGUGCCCAGAUGGGAUGCGCUAGGAGGUGGGGUAACGUCUCACCUAGGCGACGAUCUGUAGCUGGUCUGAGAGGAUGACCGGCCACACUGGAACUGAGACACGGUCCAGACUACUACGGGAGGGAGCAGUGGGGAAUAUUGCACAAUGGGCGCAAACAUUAUGCAGCGAUGCCGAGUGUAUGAAGAAGGCGUUCGGGUUGUAAAGUACGUUCAGGGGGGAGGAAGCGAGUAAAGUUAAUACCUUGGCUCAUUGACGUUACCCGCAGAAGAAGCACCGGCUAACUCCGUG
rnacentral:rRNA from 1 species